rnacentral:lncRNA from 1 species
UGAACCCGGGAGGCAGAGCUUGCAGUGAGCAGAGAUCAUGCCACUACACUCCAGCCUGGGAAACAGAGCAAGACUCUGUCUCAAAAAAAGAAAGUGGGGGGAAAUGAUGUACACAAAUCAGAAGUGAGGUACAGAACAGCUGGAUUGGUUACAGGUUGGCGUUUGCCUCAUUUGAACACAGCUUCAACACUCAUCGGUGUAUGAGUGGUUGAAGUAUAGCUCCUGGGAUUGGCCACGACUCAGCUGUUGUUACAGGUCCCCAGACUUAGAGAUCCAGGAGAUGAACUCAAGAGCAGCCCGUUGCCUGCAGUGGCUGACAUGAAGCCUUUCUGCGUCAUCGGUGUCUUGUCUGAUGCUUCCCCAGUGGAAUUUCCUGCUGUGUUCCUGGGAAACCCAAGCAACCAGAAGUUCAUCCAAUUAUUUAUUUGCUUCGAGUCAUCCGGAUGUAAAAACUCCUUCCAUGUAAACAUCCACAUACUCUGGGGAAACCUGCUGCCAAAGUAGGAGGAUUCCAAAGGACCUAGAGGAAGAAAAAGCUACAAUAUGGAAGACACCUGAGUUUCUGAAGGACUGUGUGGAGCACUUCCUUCUGCUGAUGAACAUGUGCUAUGAAAAAUAAACUUAUUUUGUUUAGCAACUAAGAUUUCUGAAUUACUUGUUACAGCAGUUAGUAUAUCCUGAUUAACAGACCUCAUCUUUUAUUCCUUUGGGCUUGAAUUUGAUGGCUUACCUGUGCUUUUCUUUGGCUUGACCAAGUAGUAUAGCAGCUGGCUUUCUGCUUGGUCAUUCUUUGCUCAGCAUUGAUAAAAUAGAGCAUAAUGAAGACAGAACAUUAAACACCUCCUUUUAAUCUUGUUUACCUGUUCAAUUUGCUUUGAAAGUGUUUAUUAUUUUAGAAAGGGCAAAAAGGUAUUGUAUUUAAUGGGAAGGUAAUUAACUAGG